AAGAAAUUUAGGAGGAAUCCUAAAAACUUGGCUUCCUUUACCUUCGGGUACUGGGGCCUAAACACCUCUGUGAACUGUUGUAGCGGAUGAAACAGUUGUUUCGUUAAGUCCCUACAUCUUUUAUUUCACUUUGUUAAAAUUGUGGGUAAAGUUGAUUUUAACUUAAA
rnacentral:misc_RNA from 1 species